UACGAGGGGGGCGAGCGUUGUUCGGAAUUAUUGGGCGUAAAGGGUGCGUAGGCGGUUUGGUAAGUCUGAUGUGAAAUCUAUGGGCUCAACUCAUAGUCUGCCUCGGAAACUGCCGGGCUUGAGUAUGGGAGAGGUGAGUGGAAUUCCUGGUGUAGCGGUGAAAUGCGUAGAUAUCAGGAGGAACACCUGUGGCGAAAGCGGCUCACUGGACCAUAACUGACGCUGAUGCACGAAAGCUAGGGGAGCAAACAGG
rnacentral:rRNA from 1 species